GAUGAACGCUGGCGGCGUGCUUAACACAUGCAAGUCGAACGAUGAAGCCCAGCUUGCUGGGUGGAUUAGUGGCGAACGGGUGAGUAACACGUGAGUAACCUGCCCUUAACUCUGGGAUAAGCCUGGGAAACUGGGUCUAAUACCGGAUAGGAGCGUCCACCGCAUGGUGGGUGUUGGAAAGAUUUAUCGGUUUUGGAUGGACUCGCGGCCUAUCAGCUUGUUGGUGAGGUAAUGGCUCACCAAGGCGACGACGGGUAGCCGGCCUGAGAGGGUGACCGGCCACACUGGGACUGAGAGACGGCCCAGACUCCUACGGGAGGCAGCAGUGGGGAAUAUUGCACAAUGGGCGAAAGCCUGAUGCAGCGACGCCGCGUGAGGGAUGACGGCCUUCGGGUUGUAAACCUCUUUCAGUAGGGAAGAAGCGAAAGUGACGGUACCUGCAGAAGAAGCACCGGCUAACUACGUG
rnacentral:rRNA from 1 species